rnacentral:misc_RNA from 1 species
AAGUCGUAACAAGGUUUCCGUAGGUGAACCUGCGGAAGGAUCAUUAUUGAAUUCAAAUCAUCUGUGGCUUCGGUCCGGAUGUGCCAACAGGUAACACUGUUGGUAAUUCUAUCCAUAACACCUGUGAACUGUUGGAUGCUUGCAUCCACUUUUAUACUAAACAUUAUUGUAACAAAUGUAGUCUUAUUAUAACUAAUAAAACUUUUAACAACGGAUCUCUUGGCUCUC